rnacentral:tRNA from 1 species
GGGGGUAUAGCUCAGGGGUAGAGCAUUUCACUGCAGAUCAACAGAUCCCUGGUUCAAAUCCAGGUGCCCCUA